CACCGAGCUCAGUAACACGUGGCCAAACUACCCUACAGAGACGGAUACCCUCGGGAAACUGAGGUUAACCCGUCAUAUCGAUCUCAGGCUUGAAUCGCAGAGAUCACAAAACGCCCCGGCGCUGUAGGAUGUGGCUGCGGUUGAUUAGGUAGACGGUGGGGUAACGGCCCACCGUGCCCAUAAUCAGUACAGGUUGUGAGAGCAAGAACCUGGAGACGGAAUCUGAGACAAGAUUCCGGGCCCUACGGGGCGCAGCAGGCGCGAAACCUUUACACUGCACGCACGUGCGAUAAGGGGACUCCGAGUGCGAGGGCAUAUCGUCCUCGCUUUACGUGUACCGUAGGGUGGUACACCAACAAGGGCUGGGCAAGACCGGUGCCGGCCGCCGCGGUAAUACCGGCAGCCCGAGUGAUGGCCGAUCUUAUUGGGCCUAAAGCGUCCGUAGCU
rnacentral:rRNA from 1 species